rnacentral:rRNA from 1 species
AUUCCGGAGAGGGAGCCUGAGAAACGGCUACCACAUCCAAGGAAGGCAGCAGGCGCGCAAAUUACCCACUCCCGGCACGGGGAGGUAGUGACGAAAAAUAACGAUACGGAACUCAUACGAGGCUCCGUAAUCGGAAUGAGUACACUUUAAAUCCUUUAACGAGGUUCUAUUGGAGGGCAAGUCUGGUGCCAGCAGCCGCGGUAAUUCCAGCUCCAAUAGCGUAUAUUAAAGUUGUUGCGGUUAAAAAGCUCGUAGUUGGAUCUCGGUUUCACUCAGGUGGUACACCUUGCGGUGUUCACUAUCUGGGUGGACGUUUCUGUUGGUUCGCUCUUGGUGCUCUUCAUCGGGUGCCAUUUGGUGGCCAGCACGUUUACUUUGAAAAAAUUGGAGUGCUCAAAGCAGGCGUUACAGCCUGAACAUUAGUGCAUGGAAUAAUGGAAUAGGAUCUCGAUUCUAUUUCGUUGGCUUUCGGAGUCGAGGUAAUGAUUAAUAGGGACAGACGGGGGCAUUCGUACUGCGACGUUAGAGGUGAAAUUCUUGGAUCGUCGCAAGACGAACUACUGCGAAAGCAUUUGCCAAAUGUUUUCAUUAAUCAAGAACGAAAGUUAGAGGUUCGAAGGCGAUCAGAUACCGCCCUAGUUCUAACCAUAAACGAUGCCAACCGGCGAUCCGUCGUCGUUAAUUGAAUGACUCGACGGGCAGCCUCCGGGAAACCAGAGUGUUAGGGUUCCGGGGGAAGUAUGGUUGCAAAGCUGAAACUUAAAGGAAUUGACGGAAGGGCACCACCAGGAGUGGAGCCUGCGGCUUAAUUUGACCCAACACGGGAAAUCUCACCAGGCCCGGACACCGGAAGGAUUGACAGAUUGAGAGCUCUUUCUUGAUUCGGUGGGUGGUGGUGCAUGGCCGUUCUUAGUUGGUGGAGCGAUUUGUCUGGUUAAUUCCGAUAACGAACGAGACUCUGGCCUACUAACUAGAAGGUCUAUCCUUUAUGGGUAGGCCUCUGCUUCUUAGAGGGACGGGCGGCGUUUAGCCGCACGAGAAUGAGCAAUAACGGGUCUGUGAUGCCCUUAGAUGUUCUGGGCUGCACGCGCGCUACACUGAAGGAAUCAGCAUGUUCUCCCCUCCCUGAAAAGGGCGGGUAACCCGUUGAAACUCCUUCGUGAUGGGGAUUGGAGAUUGUAAUUAUUCUCCAUGAACGAGGAAUUCCCAGUAGGCGCGAGUCAUCAGCUUGCGUCGAUUACGUCCCUGCCCUUUGUACACACCGCCCGUCGCUACUACCGAUCGAGUGAUUUAGUGAGGACUUCGGACUGGUCUUCAAGUUGGCUUCGGUCGGCUCGAAGUUCCGGAAAGAUGCCCAAACUUGAUCACUUAGAGGAAGUAAAAGUCGUAACAAGGUUUCCGUAGGUGAACCUGCGGAAG